rnacentral:tRNA from 2 species
GGGAGGUUAGCAUAUCGGCAAUGCGGUUGUCUUAAGAACAAAAAGAAGUCGGUUCGAAUCCGGCACCUUCCA